AUUGAACGCUGGCGGCAGGCUUAACACAUGCAAGUCGAGCGAGCGGCGGACGGGUGAGUAAUGUCUGGGAAACUGCCUGAUGGAGGGGGAUAACUACUGGAAACGGUAGCUAAUACCGCAUACGAUCAGAUGUGCCCAGAUGGGAUGAGCUAGUAGGUGGGGUAAUGGCUCAACUAGGCGACGAUCCCUAGCUGGUCUGAGAGGAUGACCAGCCACACUGGAACGGAGACACGGACCAGACGCCGACGGGAGGCAGCAGUGGGGAAUAUUGCACAAUGGCCGCAAGCCUGGUGCAGCCAUGCCGCGUGUAUGAAGAAGGCCUUCGGGUUGUAAAGAAAUUUCAGCGAGGAGGCGUUACUCGCAGAAGAAGCACCGGCUAACUCCGUGCCAGCAGCCGCGGUAAUUC
rnacentral:rRNA from 1 species